rnacentral:tRNA from 1 species
GCCCCGGUAGCUCAGUGGUGGAGCAAUUGCCUUGUAAGCAAUAGGUCGUGGGUUCGAAACCCGCCCGGGGCUCCA